rnacentral:rRNA from 1 species
CUACGGGGUGCAGCAGUGAGGAAUUUUGCGCAAUGGGGGAAACCCUGACGCAGCAACGCCGCGUGAGUGAAGAAGGCCCUUGGGUCGUAAAGCUCUGUCAAUGGGGAAGAAGUUAUUAUGUGUUAAUAGCACAUUUUAUUGACGGUACCCAUGAAGGAAGCACCGGGUAACUCCGUGCCAGCAGCCGCGGUAAUACGGGGGGUGCAAGCGUUAUUCGGAAUUAUUGGGCGUAAAGGGCACGCAGGCGGUCCUGUCAGUCAGAUGUGAAAGCCCGGGGCUCAACCCCGGACGUGCAUUUGAAACAGCAGGACUUGAGUACGGGAGAGGAAAGGGGAAUUCCUGGUGUAGAGGUGAAAUUCGUAGAUAUCAGGAGGAACACCGGUGGCGAAGGCGCCUUUCUGGACCGAUACUGACGCUGAGGUGCGAAGGCGUGGGUAGCGAACGGGAUUAGAUACCCUCGUAGUC